CUAAUAUUGUGAGAUAUACCUGUUUUUGAUGUGUUUCUGUUUUACAGCCCUGAUUUUGAAGCUGUUGUCUGUUAUUUACAAACUUGUGACUUCUAUGCUCCUAAAAGGCAUGGAGAUCAUGUGCAUCUGCAAGUACGGCUCACGGAUUAUGAAUGCAUGAGUUCUCAUGGUGCCAGAAGAAAAAAUUAUUCCAUUUUCUCCAAAGGAUGAGAGGAACAUCAACAGCAGCUGUCUGGGAUAGAGAGGUACCUGUAAAGCCCAAAGAUGUUUCCUCAGAGAAUGUGACAGUAGUGUGUGGUGUGAUCUGUGUGUUUGUGUCAUUUCUCAGGGAGAAUCAAUGCAGAGACUGAAGCUGAGCUGCAGUAUGUACCUGCGCCCUCUGCUGGAGCAUGAUCUGCACAUGUGUGUUCAUGAUGAAAAUCUCGCUCAAUGUCUGAUAAGCUGGCAUGUUUGAUUUCCGGCACUGUAGACUGUGAGCUAUGAGCUCAAAUAUGUCAUAAAUCAUUUGAGCCUUUAUGCUGAA